AGUACACAUCCAUGCUGGACAGGAAGGUUAAGGACAGGCUGUGAAGUGCCUUGCUAAGGUGGAUAAGGAGGGACUUCUGAUCUCCUGCUGACUGGAAGUGAAAUGCCUGUCACCAUAUAGAACAGUAGGCAAGACUGGGAUUUCUUGUUUGUAGUGACUAACAGCAAUAGACUGUCCUCUGGUUAUUAGAAAGAAUGAAGUCUAAAUACUGAAAAAGGAUAAACAACAUACAGAUAAAUAUUUUGAAACGACCCAGAUUUGGAAAGUCCUAAUACAUUGCCAAGCUUUCAACAUUUUC